rnacentral:rRNA from 1 species
GACGAACGCUGGCGGCGUGCUUAACACAUGCAAGUCGAACGGAAAGGCCCUGCUUUUGUGGGGUGCUCGAGUGGCGAACGGGUGAGUAACACGUGAGUAACCUGCCCUUGACUUUGGGAUAACUUCAGGAAACUGGGGCUAAUACCGGAUAGGAGCUCCUGCUGCAUGGUGGGGGUUGGAAAGUUUCGGCGGUUGGGGAUGGACUCGCGGCUUAUCAGCUUGUUGGUGGGGUAGUGGCUUACCAAGGCUUUGACGGGUAGCCGGCCUGAGAGGGUGACCGGCCACAUUGGGCCUGAGAUACGGCCCAGACUCGUACGGGAGGCAGCAGUGGGGAAUAUUGCACAAUGGGCGGAAGCCUGAUGCAGCAACGCCGCGUGCGGGAUGACGGCCUUCGGGUUGUAAACCGCUUUCGCCUGUGACGAAGCGUGAGUGACGGUAAUGGGUAAAGAAGCACCGGCUAACUACGUG